rnacentral:rRNA from 1 species
UACGUAGGGGGCGAGCGUUGUCCGGAUUUAUUGGGCGUAAAGCGCGUGUAGGCGGCCAGGUAGGUCUGCUGUGAAAACUCGAGGCUCAACCUCGAGACGCCGAUGGAAACCAUCUGGCUAGAGUCCGGAAGAGGAGAGUGGAAUUCCCGGUGUAGCGGUGAAAUGCGCAGAUAUCGGGAAGAACACCCGUGGCUAAGGCGGCUCUCUAGUACGGUACUGACGCUGAGACGCGAAAGCGUGGGGAGCGAACAGG